AGAUCGGCUUCCACGACGGCAACGUUCUGGGGGCCUUUUUCUUUUGU
rnacentral:antisense_RNA from 1 species